rnacentral:rRNA from 1 species
GACGAACGCUGGCGGCGUGCCUAACACAUGCAAGUCGAACGGAGAUUUCAGCAAUGAAAUCUUAGUGGCGAACGGGUGAGUAACGCGUAGACAACCUGCCUUUUAGAUGGGGACAACACCGCGAAAGUGGUGCUAAUACCGAAUGUUGUAUUUUAAUCGCAUGAUUAGAAUGCUAAAGAUGGCCUCUGUAUAUGCUAUCGCUAAAAGAUGGGUCUGCGUCUGAUUAGCUAGUUGGUGAGGUAAUGGCUCACCAAGGCGACGAUCAGUAGCCGGUCUGAGAGGAUGAACGGCCACACUGGGACUGAGACACGGCCCAGACUCCUACGGGAGGCAGCAGUGGGGAAUCUUCCGCAAUGGACGAAAGUCUGACGGAGCAACGCCGCGUGAGUGAAGAAGGUUUACGGAUCGUAAAACUCUGUUUUCAGGGACGAAUGUGCAGAUUGUAAAUAAUGAUUUGUAAUGACGGUACCUGAGUAGAAAGCCACGGCUAACUACGUGCCAGCCGCCGCAGUAA